rnacentral:rRNA from 1 species
ACGCUCGACACCUACGGGAGGCAGCAGUGGGGAAUAUUGCACAAUGGGGGAAACCCUGAUGCAGCGACGCCGCGUGAGCGAAGAAGUAUUUCGGUAUGUAAAGCUCUAUCAGCAGGGAAGAUCAUGACGGUACCUGACUAAGAAGCUCCGGCUAAAUACGUGCCAGCAGCAGCGGUAAUCUGAGCGGGCUGGCAAGGC